rnacentral:tRNA from 2 species
GAUCCCUUAACUCAGUUGGUAGAGUGUCAGAUUCCAAUUCGGAAUAAUUCCUUCUAGGAGUGUCCUGACGGUCGUGUGUUCAAGUCGCACAGGGAUCG